rnacentral:lncRNA from 1 species
ACUCGCAGGGCUCUCACUGCUCGCGGUGCGGCAGCCGCGCGCGGACUCCGCUGCGCCUCCGAGGGGGCCAGGCACGCGGUCAAGAUCUGUGGCCACUGGUUCCCAUGGUUUCGAGGCACCAUGAGGCUCGCUGGCUCCUGGAAACUUUGGCUUUGGGCAGCACUUCUCCUGCUUCCUGCUUCCACUUCCGUGACGGUUAGGGACAAGCCAGAAAAGCAGUGUCCUGUACUGAGAACAGAGGAGCAUCAGUUUACACAAGACAAUGGAGAUAAACUUGAAGUUUCAGGUUUUGACCUAGGAGAGAGUUUUUCUAUGAGACGUGUGUUUUGUGAAGGUGAUAAAACCUGUUUCAAAUUGGGAAGUUCUCUUCUUAUUAGAGACACCAUUAAGGUAUUUCCCAAAGGCCUUCCUGAGCAUUUCGCGAUGGUGGCCAUGUUUCGGGUACGAAGAAGCACCAAAAAGGAACGGUGGUUUCUGUGGCAGGUUUUAAACCAGCAGAAUAUGCCACAGGUGUCUAUAGUAAUUGAUGGUGGAAAGAAGGUGGUGGAGUUUAUGUUCCGAGCUGCCGAGGGAGAUGUGUUGAACUUCAUUUUUAAAAAUCGAGAACUCCGUUCUUUGUUUGAUCGUCAGUGGCAUAAACUUGGCAUUGGCAUACAAUCCCAGGGCAUUUCACUCUAUAUGGACUGUAACUUAGUUGCAAGCCAGAAUACUGAUGGAAAAGGUGCUUUGGACUUUCGUGGAAGGACAAUUAUUAUGGCUCGAGCUUCAGAUGGCAAGCCUGUGGAUGUUGAACUUCACCAACUUAAAAUCUACUGUGACUUGAACUUCAUAGCUCAAGAAACUUGUUGUGAGAUGUCAGACACUAAGUGCCCAGAGCAGGUUGGCUUUGGAAGUACUGCAUCUUUAUCAGUACCUGCGUAUGCCAGUCGAAUGUCUGCAUUUCUGCCAGCAAAGCAGGAACUAACAGACCAGUGCCAGUGUAUUCCAGAGAAGGGAGAAGCAGGAUUACAGGGAGCUCCAGGCUCACCGGGCCAGAAAGGAGACAAAGGACAGCAGGUAAGACACCAUCCAGUGCUGUCAGGAUGCAAGAGGAUUUGUCCAAAAGUGACUUUAAACUUGUGUCCAGCUCAUUUUUCUAGUCCCAUAUAAAUGCACAUUUCCAUAAAAAAGGCUGUCAAGGGCUGUAUUUAAGUGCUGUGCUGACCACUGAAAUAAAGAAGACUGAUAUCAGCAUGCAAGUCUGCUUUGGAGAAUCCUAUUGAAGGCUGGCCUAAAAUAUGGAAAGAUUAGGAAAUCUAGAUCUUUGUACCUGUUAAACCACAAGCAAAAUCGCAAAGCAAGAAAGUUUGUUUUUCAGUGGUGUUGUAGCUUUCUUUAGCAUUCUCUUCUCCAAAUGCUUGAUGAACUUCUGAUGCUCUUGUCUGCUGAUAGGUCUCCACUGAAGAUUUUUCCUUACCCUUAAUUCAGGGGUGUAAACACCUUUGUUGAACACUUUCUCUGCGUAAGGCCUAGUGUUGGGUGUUAGAGGGGGUAGACAGAAAGGGAUCCAUUCCCUUUUCUCCAUGAUUUUAAAUCUGGGAGAAGACAGAAGACCUUAUCAGACCGCAUGUGUUAGGUGCUGUAGGAGCAUUUCAGGGGUCCUCAGGGAACUGUCUGGGGAGACUGGGGAGAGUUUCCUGGAGGAGAUGGUAAGUGACAGGACCUGUGAGAAUCUGAUUCUAGCCAGUAUCCACACCUAGAGACUGCCUUUCCCUUCUCCCUAUCCCUUUUAUAACUGAACUAUUCAGUUCCCCACUCUUUUGAGUCAUGUCUUUUUUUCAACCAGUUUUUUUUUUUAAUUGAAGUACAGUCUGUUUACAGUGUUGUGUUAGCCUCAGGUGCACAGCAAAGUGACUGAAUUAUACAGGCAUAUAUAUUCUUUUUUCAGAUUCUUUUUUUUUUAAUAUCCAGCAGAUACUCAUUUUUUUAUUUUAAUGAUUUUUAUUUUUUUCCAUUGUGAGAUUCUUUUCCAUUAUAGUUUAUUACAAGACAUUGGAUGUAGUUCCCUGUGCUAUACAGUAGGUCCUUGUUAGUGUUCUAUUUUAUAUAUAGUAAUAUGUAUCUGUUAAUCCCAAACAUGUAUCUUCCCACCUCCUCUAUCCCCUCUAGUAACCAUAAGUUUGUUUUCUAUGAGUCAUGUCUCUUGUUAGCUCACUAGGUAGAUUAAUUUCUGCCAAGGUUAGAGUUGGUUAUGUUCUUACUAUCUUUCCAAGGUAAAAUAGUUUAAAUUCUUUUCAUGCCUUAACUUGGAAAUCCAAAGCUUUAAAUUGUUUAUAUAAUCUACAUGGACUCCUUAUUUUAAAAGGCUCAUAAGCAGAUUAAUUUAUGCCAAGAUUAGGAGUUGAUUAUAUCUUUCCAUGGAAGAUACAAUAGUAGACUUUCCUUUGGGAUCAUAGACCAAGAAUGGAGAGUUCCCUGGUGGCCUAGUGAUUAAGGAUUCAGCUUUGUCACUGCUAAGUUACCUGAAGUUCCCAUGGAAAAUAAAGAACUCAUAGAAAACAAACUUAUUAAGCACCUCAGUGGCUUCUGCUUGAGAGGAACUGUUUGGGGUAGGAUGGGUGUUUAUUUUUAAAGGCUGAGAAAUGACUGAUUUCACCAAGCUGCACACCAAGCUUCAACCAAGCCAUUCUUGGUUGGGUUCUUUUUUGGCCAAACCCACAACAUACAGAAGUUCCCAGGCCAGGGCUCAAACAUCAUCCACAUUAUAAACAGUAAUAUUCAGUAUUAUUUAUGUGUGGUCUUUGGUCAGGUUACUUCCACUUGUAAUAUCUUAUUUUGUCCUUAUCACCUAAGAAUGUAAAUCUAAUAUUUGUAUCCUCAUUUUGCAACUGAGAGAACCGUGCUUUCAAAAUCAUUAUAAUACUGAAGUGCACUUUUUAUUAUGUGAAAGCUUAAAAUAAUUGAGCAAUAUCUAGUUCUAAAGACUAUUUUUAUUAAUUAAUUAAUUAAUUUAUUUAUUGGCCCUGCACUCAGCAUGCAGAAGUUCUGAGGCCAGGGUUCUAAAGGCUAUUUAAAUCAAACUAAACAUUAAAAAUUACAGCAAUCUGGAGUUCCCAUCAUGGCGCAGUGGUUAAUGAAUCUGACUAGCAUCCACAAGGACGCAGGUUUAAUCCCUGGCCUUACUCAGUGGGUUAAGGAUCUGGCAUUUCCGUGUGCUGUGGUAUAGGUUGCAGACUCAUCUUGGAUCCUGUGUUGCUGUGGCUGUGGCAUAGGCCGGCAGCUAUAGCUCCAGUCUGACCCGUAGCCUGGGAAACUCUAUAUGCCAUGGGUGCGGCCCUAAAAAGAAAAAA